AGUUAUGACUGCCAAACAAGGGAUAAGGGGGAAUAGAAAAUUGAUAAUAGUAGUAGCAGAAGCAGCAAGCAAGCAAAGGGAAAGAGAAAAGUUAUUGGCUUCUUACACACUCUGCUGGGAUAAACAUCACACGUCUGAGCAAACUGAUGUUAAAUCAGAUUUUAAUUGCCCAACAAAUACUGCAACUGUUCAUAAUGACCUUUUUUCUUAUUUGCCAAGUAUGAUAUGCCACUUGUGGUGGACGAUUUAUACUGCAGAUUCCAUGAGCAAAAGUCUUAAGGAAGCCCAGAUUUAACAAGUGAACAGUUUCAACAAUUUAAUUUUCUCGACUCCUUUCAUUAUAUGGAGCAAUAAUGAGCCAUGGUUGUGUACUUUCCCAGCCAACAAAACUAAUUUGUAAUCACCCAAUAUUAGUCUACCUAGAGAAAACUUGAGUUCCA
rnacentral:misc_RNA from 1 species